GGAGAAGCAGGGGAUCGCAAGACCUUGCGCUUUUGGAGCGGCCGAUGCCUGAUUAGCUUGUUGGUAAGGUAAAAGCUUACCAAGGCUUCGAUCAGUAGCUGGUCUGAGAGGACGGCCAGCCACACUGGGACUGAGACACGGCCCAGACUCCUACGGGAGGCAGCAGUGGGGAAUUUUGGACAAUGGGGGCAACCCUGAUCCAGCCAUGCCGCGUGAGUGAAGAAGGCCUUCGGGUUGUAAAGCUCUUUCAGCCGGAACGAAACGGUUACGGUUAAUACCUGUGACUAAUGACGGUACCGGAAGAAGAAGCACCGGCUAACUACGUGCCAGCAGCCGCGGUAAUACGUAGGGUGCGAGCGUUAAUCGGAAUUACUGGGCGUAAAGCGUGCGCAGGUGGUUUUGUAAGUCAGAUGUGAAAUCCCCGGGCUCAACCUGGGAACUGCGUUUGAAACUACAAGGCUAG
rnacentral:rRNA from 1 species